rnacentral:rRNA from 1 species
UGGGGAAUAUUGGACAAUGGGCGCAAGCCUGAUCCAGCCAUGCCGCGUGAGUGAUGAAGGCCCUAGGGUUGUAAAGCUCUUUCACCGGUGAAGAUAAUGGCGGUAACCGGAGAAGAAGCCCCGGCUAACUUCGUGCCAGCAGCCGCGGUAAUACGAAGGGGGCUAGCGUUGUUCGGAUUUACUGGGCGUAAAGCGCACGUAGGCGGACUAUUAAGUCAGGGGUGAAAUCCCGGGGCUCAACCCCGGAACUGCCUUUGAUACUGGUAGUCUUGAGUUCGAGAGAGGUGAGUGGAAUUCCGAGUGUAGAGGUGAAAUUCGUAGAUAUUCGGAGGAACACCAGUGGCGAAGGCGGCUCACUGGCUCGAUACUGACGCUGAGGUGCGAAAGCGUGGGGAGCAAACAGG